UACGAAGGGGGCUAGCGUUGUUCGGAAUUACUGGGCGUAAAGGGCGCGUAGGCGGGAUGGCAAGUCGGUCGUGAAAUCCCUCGGCUCAACUGAGGAUCGUCGAUCGAUACUGCCGUUCUUGAGGAUUGCAGAGGAGACUGGAAUUCCCGGUGUAGCGGUGAAAUGUGUAGAGAUCGGGAGGAACACCGGUGGCGAAGGCGGGUCUCUGGGCAAUUCCUGACGCUGAGGCGCGAAAGCGUGGGGAGCAAACGGG
rnacentral:rRNA from 1 species